UACGUAGGGGGCAAGCGUUGUUCGGAUUUAUUGGGCGUAAAGCGAGCGCAGGUGGUUUAUUAAGUCUGGUGUAAAAGGCAGUGGCUCAACCAUUGUAUGCAUUGGAAACUGGUAGACUUGAGUGCAGGAGAGGAGAGUGGAAUUCCAUGUGUAGCGGUGAAAUGCGUAGAUAUAUGGAGGAACACCGGUGGCGAAAGCGGCUCUCUGGCCUGUAACUGACACUGAGGCUCGAAAGCGUGGGGAGCAAACAGG
rnacentral:rRNA from 1 species